rnacentral:rRNA from 1 species
UACGGGGGGGGCAAGCGUUGUUCGGAAUUACUGGGCGUAAAGGGCGCGUAGGCGGCCAACUAAGUCAGACGUGAAAUCCCUCAGCUUAACUGGGGAACUGCGUCUGAUACUGGAUGGCUUGAGUUUGGGAGAGGGAUGCGGAAUUCCAGGUGUAGCGGUGAAAUGCGUAGAUAUCUGGAGGAACACCGGUGGCGAAGGCGGCAUCCUGGACCAACACUGACGCUGAGGAGCGAAAGCCAGGGGAGCAAACGGG